rnacentral:rRNA from 1 species
GACAGAGGGUGCUAGCGUUGUUCGGAAUUACUGGGCGUAAAGGGCGCGUAGGCGGCUUGUUUAGUCGGGUGUGAAAUCCCGGGGCUCAACCCCGGAACUGCAUUCGAUACUGGCAGGCUAGAGACCGGAAGAGGUGGGUGGAAUACCCAGUGUAGAGGUGAAAUUCGUAGAUAUUGGGUGGAACACCGGUGGCGAAGGCGGCUCACUGGUCCGGUUCUGACGCUGAGGCGCGAAAGCGUGGGAGCAACAGG